rnacentral:snRNA from 10 species
GAAUGUGAGGGUGAUCUGGCUGUGACAUCUGCCACCCACUGAUCACCAGGGUUGAUUCAGCUGAUCUGGCUGUCUGGGCAGAUGUCCCCUUCCUCCCUCACCGCUCCAUGUGUGUCCUUCCCAAAGCUGCAUGCUUGGUUGAAGAGGAUGACCAUCCCCAAUAGAGGAGGGCCAGUCUUCAGUGAAGGGUAUACGAGUAGCUGUGCUCCACUGCUAGAACCUCUAAACAAGCUCUCAAAGUCUACAUUCUUCAUCAUCAAGUGAUAUUACCUCUCUAAAGAGAAAAUUGAAAAAUUCAGGAAGACUGCUCCUUAUGGGUGGCCAGGGCCAUAUAUAGUAAACAUUCCUUAACU